CAAGGAUGAAGAUCUAGAAGGAGCUGUGGUCAAGGUCUUGUGAGAGUGAAGGGAAGCAAUAAUCACUAGUCGCUAAUUUUAAUUUCAUUGGUUCAGUUGUGCCCUUGCAUGAAUACUUGUGCCUGUACAGACAAUGGUAGAAACUAGCAGCUGAUGAUGGAGAAAUGCUGCUUGGAUAAUGCUCACGCAGAAGUGAAAAAAGUCCACUGAGACUCUGCAUGUGUGUAUAGAGAGGAUUACCAUGUACAAUUAACUAAACUGAAGAGUAAAUUAAGGUAACUAGAGGCUAAACAUAUUUCAGGAAAAAAAUAUAUAUUUC
rnacentral:lncRNA from 1 species